AACCGCCGUAUGCCGAACGGCACGUACGGUGGUGUGGGAGGUCGGUAAAUGUGAAAGUAGGAGGUAAAUGCCUUUUAUGAAUAACAUUUACCUCCUACCCGAU
rfam:Prevotella timonensis CRIS 5C-B1 contig00009, whole genome shotgun sequence.